GAAGCCGGACGCCAGCGACGCCCGCGUGGGGAUGAUGAAGGCCCUCGGGAUCGUAAAAUCCUGUUCAGAUGGGAAGAAAUGCUCUAUGGCUAAUAUCUGUAGAGUUUGACGGUACCAUCAAAGGAAGCACCGGCUAACUCCGUGCCAGCAGCCGCGGUAAUA
rnacentral:rRNA from 1 species